rnacentral:rRNA from 1 species
UAUCACUUUCGCUUAGCCACUGAAAUUGCUUCCAACAGCUAGUAUCCAUCGUUUACGGCGUGGACUACCAGGGUAUCUAAUCCUGUUCGCUACCCACGCUUUCGUCCAUCAGCGUCAAUCCAUUAGUAGUAACCUGCCUUCGCAAUUGGUAUUCCAUGUAAUCUCUAAGCAUUUCACCGCUACACUACAUAUUCUAGUUACUUCCUAAUAAUUCAAGUUUAGCAGUAUCAAUGGCCGUUCCACCGUUGAGCGAUGGGCUUUCACCACUGACUUACUAAACCGCCUACGGACCCUUUAAACCCAAUGAUUCCGGAUAACGCUUGGAUCCUCCGUAUUACCGCGGCUGCUGGCACGGAGUUAGCCGAUCCUUAUUCUUACGAUACCGUCAAGCUCCUACACGUUGGAGUGUUUCUUCUCGUACAAAAGCAGUUUACAAUCCAUAGGACCGUCAUCCUGCACGCGGCAUGGCUGGAUCAGGCUUGCGCCCAUUGUCCAAUAUUCCUCACUGCUGCCUCCCGUAGGAGUCUGGUCCGUGUCUCAGUACCAGUGUGGGGGAUCUCCCUCUCAGGACCCCUACCCAUCGUAGCCUUGGUAAGCCGUUACCUUACCAACUAGCUAAUGGGACGCAUGCUCAUCUUUUACCGUUGUGACUUUAAUAGUAUCUCGAUGCCGAGUCACUAUACUAUGAGGUAUUAAUCCAAAUUUCUCUGGGCUAUCCCUCUGUAAAAGGUAGAUUGCAUACGCGUUACGCACCCGUGCGCCGGUCUCUAUAUCCGAAGACAUAUACCCCUCGACUGC